AUUGAACGCUGGCGGCAGGCCUAACACAUGCAAGUCGAGCGAGCGGCGGACGGGUGAGUAAUGUCUGGGAAACUGCCUGAUGGAGGGGGAUAACUACUGGAAACGGUAGCUAAUACCGCAUACCCUCAGAUGUGCCCAGAUGGGAUUAGCGAGUAGGUGGGGUAACGGCUCACCUAGGCGACGAUCCCUAGCUGGUCUGAGAGGCUGACGAGCACCACUGGAGCGUAGACACGGUCCAGACUCCUACGGGAGGCAGCAGUGGGGAAUAUUGCACAUUGGGCGAAAGCCUGAUGCAGCCAUGCCGCGUGUAUGAAGAAGGCCUUCGGGUUGUAAAGUACUUUCAUCGGGGAGGCGUUACCCGCAGAAGAAGCACCGGCUAACUCCGUGCCAGCAGCCGCGGUAAUUC
rnacentral:rRNA from 1 species